rnacentral:lncRNA from 1 species
GGCCAGAGUCACAGAACCGUUGUACGCUCAGCUGAGACCCAAACCAGUCUCCUGAUUCCAACUUUGGUAUUAUUCCCACAAUUCUUCUCACCCAACUGGUAGGCUAAACUAAAAACUUUGGAGCGUUCUUGACAGAAGGGCUUUCUUAAAUAUUCAGCUUCGCAAACAGAAGCCAACCAGGCAUCUAAUUCACGAAUUUUCCAGUUGUUUCCACUGCCAAAGGCAACGGCCCUCAUUCAGUCUUACAUGAGAACCUAUAAAUUUUAAAGAAUAUUAAUGAUAUUGAGAUACAUAGGAAGAUGCUUAUUUACCCUGUUGACCAACACGAGCAUAUAAAGUAAAUGAUUAGCGAAAGACAAGCGGAAUGUGUAUUUACAUGUUAUGAUAUAUGCAGGGGUAACAUGAGUGGUACAAAUGUAUUUUUAAUUUGAGUGUAUUUAUUACUUGUGAAAGUGAAGACUAAUUACGCUGUCUCGAUUCUGGCGUUACGAGAGGGGUUCCUGGGGAAGCUCACCCCCUCCUCGCGUUGCUUCCAACAUUGCAGGCUGCUGCUCUGCUGGGGUGGGUGCUGGGGCGGGUUUCCGGAAGGAGACUGGAAGGACGAAGGGGAGAGAGAUUUAGCUUCCCUUCACAUUGCCCGGCCAGGUCCGUGCAUAAUUGUGACGUCCUCUCGCAACUUCUCCGUCUUGCAUCUGAGGCUGUAAUUCAACUCCCGCUCGGUGGGCCCGACGGGGGGCAGCCCGCCAGGAGAUGCAUGUGAGGUGUGGCGAAUCUGUCCACUGGGGUUUUAAAUCACUGGGCUCGAGCCAAUGCCGUUGGAGGCCCGGCCCGCGGGAUUGGAAUCGUGGCUCCCACUGGUGCCCGAAGGCCGUUGCAAACUUCAUCCGGGGCAGAAGCGGUUACUCUUGCUGACGCAGAUGCCCGGUUAGGAGAAGAAGGCAGAAAAGAAGUGGGGAAGGGUGAAGCGGGGUAUGGCCUCCGUGACGUCAUUUCUUCAUCUCUAGAGGCUUCCACUCGGGCCAUUAGUGGCUUACUCCUCUUCUCCACCCUCUGAUCUUCAUCAGAUUAGAGGCCUCUACGGAUGGGUGUGAACUGAGGGCUUCCAAGCGCUGGGAGGCUUCUCGAUGCACCGCAGAACCUUCGGGCCCGCGUUGGAAACCCCAAUAUCCGAGCGGCACCCUGGACCAUUUCUAUCAGACUCUCUGGGGUAAGAUUUGGCUGAUUCCACUGUGCAGCCGGGGUUGGGAAUCACCGCCCUGAGUUGCGGCUGAUGCGCCCUCUCGCCUGCUUUCUCUCCUCAAGGAGGACUUUUCCUGGGGCCCGGUGGCGGGGAGGAGGGGCCCUUAA